rnacentral:rRNA from 1 species
UACGUAGGGUCCAAGCGUUGUUCGGAUUUACUGGGCGUAAAGGGCGCGUAGGCGGCGCAAUAAGUCACUUGUGAAAUCUCCGGGCUUAACUCGGAGCGGCCAAGUGAUACUGUUGUGCUAGAGUGCAGAAAGGGCAAUCGGAAUUCUCGGUGUAGCGGUGAAAUGCGUAGAUAUCGAGAGGAACACCUGAGGCGAAGGCGGGUUGCUAGGCUGACACUGACGCUGAGGCGCGAAAGCUAGGGUAGCAAACGGG